rnacentral:rRNA from 1 species
UACGUAGGGGGCAAGCGUUGUCCGGAUUUAUUGGGCGUAAAGAGCGUGUAGGCGGUUAGGUAGGUCCGUUGUGAAAACUCGAGGCUCAACCUCGAGACGCCGAUGGAAACCAUCUGACUAGAGUCCGGAAGAGGAGAGUGGAAUUCCUGGUGUAGCGGUGAAAUGCGCAGAUAUCAGGAAGAACACCCGUGGUUAAGGCGGCUCUCUAGUACGUGACUGACGCUGAGACGCGAAAGCGUGGGGAGCGAACAGG